ACAUAAAUUUACUCCAUUAGUAGAGAGACUACACAGGGCAGGGAAAAGACCGAAACUCUUCAUGAAGUCUACGCCUAAGAAUAGACUCCGACUUAGUGUUGGUACCAAAUAUAAGGUGACUUCAUUAGAAUGAUUAUUAAAUUUUAUCACCGUUUUUACCCUUCCAACAAUUUUGUGUGGACUGCCAUCGGCCGUUUUAACGUAGGACAUAAACUUUUGGACUGGUAGACCCGUACUCUCCACUAACUCCAUACAACCUUUACCCAGGCAGGAAACGGUAGCUCCACUGUCCAAUAAACCAUCUACCUCGUGUCCAUAAAUAGGAAUUUUCAAAUAUACUCUAGCAUCUUUUCCUUCAUACAAACUUGUCGACAUUAUUUCAUGCUUCACUCUUUUCCUGAUUUUGUAACGCUGUAUAGCUUUCUUUAUCUUGUUAGAGACCUGCCCGAAGAUUCUUAAUUUAGCUUCAUUAUACUCAUGAAUUCUUUGAUGUAAUGGUUUAAUUACAUGAACUUUCGGCUUUUCAGCUUCUGGAGCUAAACGCUCGGAAUUAAUUAGAAUUCGAGUAGGGCUGGACGGAGGAUUAUCCGGGAUUAGGGUUGGUUUGAACGAGUCUCCCCCGUUUGGGACUCGUUCCCCUUCAGGUUUCCCUGACAUUUAGGACACCUAGGCGUGACUACAUCGUCUCUCCCGCACCGAAAACAAAAUAUGCGCCUAUUUGGUGACGGACAAUCCAUGAAGCUAUGGCCUGGUUGCUUGCAAUUCCAACAUACAUAGCGGCUGCUAGUGGCUAAGGCGUCUACUUCGAGAAUUGGUAUGGGCUCUUCCUCUUCGUACUGGAGUUCAUGGACGCGAGCUGGGACGGAAUGUCUGCCUUGAAAAGUCUGCUUCUGACAGAUAAUUAAAUUUUCGGCUCGUUUAGCCUGCUGACAGAACUUGUUGAGACUAGAAGUGGUCACGGAAAAUAGUAGAUGUGACAAUGACGGCUUUAGAUUACUUUUCAUAAUCUCCACUAGAUCUCGUUCUGAAUAGGGAUUUCGCUGUUGAUUUCUUAGCUUCAUCACAUCAUUGUAAAAACUUUCAAAGCUUUCCAUCGGCAUUUGGCGACGAUCCAUAAUUUGUUUUUGUAACUGGAACUCGUUCUCAAAUCUUCGGAACUGGGUAAGGAAGGCUCCCACCAACUCAUCAAAGGACUGUAUUGGCCUCAAAUUACGUAGGUUCCAAUACCAGUCCAGCGCCUGGCCUUCUAGCAGAUGACGUAAACCUUGUGAGGAUUGAAUUGGUGCUGGAAAAACUGGAUUCGCAUUUGGUGGUACAUAAGGCGGCUGUGCGUUAGAUGCUUGUCCUUGGGUUGUUUGAAAAUCAUUUUGCAACUGGUAAUUACUAGCAGGUGGUUGCUGCUCUACAGGCUGAUGGUUAAACACUGCAUUUGGCUGCCGAACAGAUGUUCGCGGCUCCGUUGGUUGAAGGACCGUUAUCGGCGGAUUAGCUGGAGCAGCAGCAUUGCCGAAUUCCUGUUGCAAUUCGGUUCGCAACUGCCGUAUUUGCCGUAGCAAUCCCUCCCGCACAAAAGUAAACAUAUCGCCUCCUGUGGUGACGAUGUUAACAGGUUGAGGAGCUGUCGGCGGAACAUUUGCUCGGAACUCUUGUUGCACAUUCCUGGCGGUGAUACUGCUGUAGUCAGACGAUGUAAUCGUGCUGUUGGAGAUGGCAGACUCAUUUAAAAACCCAGAACGUUCAUGGGCCAUAGACAUGAAUUGUAGUAGUAGUUGUCGUAGCUGUGUUGGCAAUCGUAUACGUCGGAUGCACCGUAGGAACUACAGUUCCUGCAGUGGUGCGUGUAAUGUUCUCCAUAUUAGAAAUAUUAUUAUGCUCAGUUUGUACACGAGUCCUAGCCGAGCGAGUUAAGACCAUUCCUAAUGAAUAGAAAUCUAGUUGGCGGAAUGACCCCCACAAUAAAAACUCAACCAAAAUAACAAAAUAUAAUAAAAUAUCAAAUUGAAGAUUCGUAUAUAUAACAGACCGCUAGUAAAAAAACUAUUUAUCUCUAUGAUAAAUAUUAGCAAAAUACUAGAAGAAAUUCCUCCUCUUUCCCAAAGGAAAACAAAAAAAAAAACAAAUCAAUUCUAAAGAAAGGAAGUAAAGAUUCAAAAACUAAAUCCAAAACUUUCGUAACGAAAAACCUAAAACGUUCUACAAAAAACUCAAAAUCCAAAUCCAAAAAAACCAAAGAUAAAUCUUGAAAUCUCAAAUUAAAUAAAAUCUUACUAUCGGCGGUGUAUUUCAGGAAAGUAAAGUUUGCAGGAGAUGCAGACAAGAAAAAAAUUAAAAUGGAUAAAAUUUUAGUAGUUGUUUCCCACAGAAAAACUUUUAAAGGUGCAACUAGAAGAUGGUUUGAUAACCUAGAACCUGUAGGACUACCCUUACUACUUCACUGCGGACAAAACGCAUGUUUCUAAAACAAAUACUCUAUGGACUAUUGUAAAAGAGGGGGCUGGCCUUAGCUAUACUUUCUUCACAACUUGAGCAUUCUCAGAUAUGCUAUGGAAAGCUAUUCUGAGAGCCUCAAAUUGUUUGGAAAGGAUAGGCUGAAGAAUCUAUAAUUCUGCAUGACCAUAUUGUUCACACCACACGUCGCAACGCGAACUAGACUAAAAUUGUCCUGUUGUCCGGGACUUACGUAGGUGUGACCAUGCACAAUUAUAGCUUCCCAUCUAUUGAAAUGGAGAAAAGUAAAAACUAAAUUUACUAUUUCGUCCGACGACGUCGCGACAAUUAGGGACUCUAGGUAUGACCUAACAGGACUUACGUAGUCAUGACUAAAUAGGAUUAGAAAACUAACAAAAGAUCAGGCUAUGGACCUACUCGGGCCCCACGUUGGGCGCCAUUUAUGUUGUGUAGCGGUUGUGCAAAACAAAAGAAACUAGUGUUGCCAGAGUGGUAGCGGCGCUGGUAUGCUCGCUUUCGCCGGGCUUGGAGCUCGCCGGAUGGGUGUGGUUCUUGCUACCACUCUAGACACCUACACACACACAUAAAAACCAUACCAGCUAAAAGAAAUAAACGAAAUAAACUAUAAAGGGGCACAGAGUAGGUUUCUGUCUGUCUCCCUGAUGAAACGUUCCUACGACCUAUAACGGCUGACAGAUGUUGUGCCAGGAUAAACCCUCCCACUCGGGAUUGGAUAAUCCCGCCAUGACAUCCUAAUAUUAGGGACGUCCCAAAAUUUACCCUGCAAACUUUCCUUUCCCUACUUACCGCCGCUUAUAUUGUUUAACCGAUCAUUUUAAUUGAUUAAGACUUUUAAAAAUUUCAUUUAAACAUUAUAAAUGUUGGAUUUUAUUAUCGAAAUUAUUCUCAAACAAACUUUAACAAUAUUAGAUUUAAAAAUUUAGUUUAGUUUUAA